UGCAAACAGAACUCCGACCGGAGACGGAAGGAGUGCUUUUAUUAGAUCAAAACCAAUCGGUGGCGGGUUCGCUCGUCAUCGUACAACUUGGUGACUCUGAAUAACUUUAUGCUGAUCGCACGGUCUCGCACCGGCGACGCAUCUUUCAAAUGUCUGCCUUAUCAACUGUCGAUGGUAGGUUCUGCGCCUACCAUGGUUGUAACGGGUAACGGGGAAUCAGGGUUCGAUUCCGGAGAGGGAGCCUGAGAAACGGCUACCACAUCCAAGGAAGGCAGCAGGCGCGCAAAUUACCCACUCCCGGCACGGGGAGGUAGUGACGAAAAAUAACGAUACGGGACUCAUCCGAGGCCCCGUAAUCGGAAUGAGUACACUCUAAACCCUUUAACGAGGAUCAAUUGGAGGGCAAGUCUGGUGCCAGCAGCCGCGGUAAUUCCAGCUCCAAUAGCGUAUAUUAAAGUUGUUGCGGUUAAAAAGCUCGUAGUCGAAUCUGUGUCUUGCGCCGCCGGUUCAUCGUUCGCGGUGUUAACUGGCGUGUCGCAGGACGUCCUGCCGGUGGGCUUAGCUCGCAAGGGCGGCCCAACUCAAUCCUGCCGCGGUGCUCUUCACUGAGUGUCGAGGUGGGCCGGCACGUUUACUUUGAACAAAUUAGAGUGCUUAAAGCAGGCUAAAACUUCGCCUGAAUACUGUGUGCAUGGAAUAAUGGAAUAGGACCUCGGUUCUAUUUUGUUGGUUUUCGGAACCCCGAGGUAAUGAUUAAUAGGAACGGAUGGGGGCAUUCGUAUUGCGACGUUAGAGGUGAAAUUCUUGGAUCGUCGCAAGACGGACAGAAGCGAAAGCAUUUGCCAAAAACGCUUUCAUUGAUCAAGAACGAAAGUUAGAGGUUCGAAGGCGAUCAGAUACCGCCCUAGUUCUAACCAUAAACGAUGCCAGCUAGCGAUCCGUCGACGUUCCUCCGAUGACUCGACGGGCAGCUUCCGGGAAACCAAAGCUUUUGGGUUCCGGGGGAAGUAUGGUUGCAAAGCUGAAACUUAAAGGAAUUGACGGAAGGGCACCACCAGGAGUGGAGCCUGCGGCUUAAUUUGACUCAACACGGGAAACCUCACCAGGCCCGGACACCGGAAGGAUUGACAGAUUGAGAGCUCUUUCUUGAUUCGGUGGGUGGUGGUGCAUGGCCGUUCUUAGUUGGUGGAGCGAUUUGUCUGGUUAAUUCCGAUAACGAACGAGACUCUAGCCUGCUAACUAGGCGUAUUUUGACAUCGCAAAGGCCCGCCGGUAUCGGGGUUCGCUCCUUUAUCGUGCGCGGUUUUUACUGUCGGCGUACAAACAAUUCUUCUUAGAGGGACAGGCGGCUUCUAGCCGCACGAGAUUGAGCAAUAACAGGUCUGUGAUGCCCUUAGAUGUUCUGGGCCGCACGCGCGCUACACUGAAGGAAUCAGCGUGUCCUCCCUGGCCGAGUGGCCCGGGUAACCCGCUGAACCU
rnacentral:rRNA from 1 species